GUGAGGAAUUUUGCGCAAUGGGGGUAACCCUGACGCAGCAACGCCGCGUGAGUGAUGAAGGCCUUCGGGUCGUAAAACUCUGUCAAGUGGGAAGAACCUAUGGAGGGCUAAUAUCCCUUUGUACUGACGGUACCACUGAAGGAAGCACCGGCUAACUCCGUGCCAGCAGCCGCGGUAAUACGGAGGGUGCAAGCGUUAUUCGGAUUUAUUGGGCGUAAAGGGCGCGUAGGCGGUUUUGUAAGUCAGAUGUGAAAGCCCGGGGCUCAACCCCGGAAGUGCAUUUGAUACUGCGAGACUUGAGUAUGGGAGGGGGAAGUGGAAUUCCUGGUGUAGAGGUGAAAUUCGUAGAUAUCAGGAGGAACACCAGUGGCGAAGGCGACUUCCUGGACCAAUACUGACGCUGAUGCGCGAAGGCGUGGGGAGCAAACAGGAUUAGAAACCCCAGUAGUCC
rnacentral:rRNA from 1 species